rnacentral:lncRNA from 1 species
GUUUCUGUAUAGCCUUGACAGACCUAGUCUUCUUCUGUCUUGUUGAUUGUAGUUCUCAGAAUAGUUGAAGCAUGUGUGAGCAUGCAAUAUCCUGAGACAGGGAGGAACUGCUAGAAAUAGACCAGGCUUUGUUAUUUGCCCUCCUAGGGAAGAGAACUUCUUGAGUUAGAGAAGAAUUGCUCAGGAUAGCCUGAGCUUUAGUCUUUAUCUUAGAAGCAAGACGCCCUUCAAUGCUUUAGCCCAGCAACUCACAUGUCCCCUGAGUUAACUCAAGGUGGGUUGCCUUUUGGGAUCCCUAAGCUGCAGUCCAAGUGUGGCAUGUUCAGUCAGGACUCCAUCCACCCCCGACAGCUCUCCAGAGCCUCGGCUGACCAGCUCACUGUGGAUCCUGGGCUUCUGUUGUCCCUUGCCACCUAUCUAAACACUUAUUAUACCAGGAGAAGAACAAAACAACUGCAGAUGAAGCUCUUUGGAUUUGUUCCUGAGGUGAAACUCCUCAAACGCCAUUUCUCUGAAUCGGAGAUGUAGGAGUAACACAGUAGAAACCUCCCAGCAACAGAGGGAAACAGCAAAGCAUGCAGCAAACAAGGUUCAUAGCAACUUUGACAUUGAAUGAGGCACAGAUUACCAGUUUCUUUUACUGUUUUAAUUAACUCUAUUAGGAUAUCAUUUUUGCACAAGAAACAGCAUCCUUUUAAAGUAUACAAUUUCAUAAGUUUUGACAGUUAUAGUCAGUCACUAAAUGGCAGCAACAAUUAAAAGACACAUUUCCUUCAUCCCCAAAGUUCCUGUGCCCCUUAGUCCAUGCAUCCCUCCAACAUCCUCCUCAAGUGAAGGAUGAUCUGUUGUUGCCAUGAUGAAUAGUUCAAAUUUCUAGAAUUCAUAUAAGUGGUAUAAUACAUUGUAUAGACUUCUGGGCCUGGAUACUUUCUAUUAAUUAUUUUAAGUUUUAUCUAUGUUGUAGUGUGAGUCAGUAAUUUGUUUUAUUUUAUUGCUGAUUAGUAUUCAACUGUAUGGAUAUACUACAUUUUGUUUAUCCAUUUCAAAGUCAUUGGCAUCUGACUUAUUUCUAAUUUGGUGAUUUUAUGAAAAAUAGCUACAAAAAUGUGAACACAGGUUUAUGUAUGAACAUUUAUUUUUAUUUCCUUUGGUGACAAACCUAUGACUUGAAUGACUUGGUUAUGUAAUAAGUGUGUAUUUAAAUUUUUUAGAAACUGCCCAAAACUUUCCUAUUCACCAAAAGGUAUGAGAGCACCAGUUGCUCCACGUUUUCUUCACCACCACUUAGUAUGUCAGUAUUUUAUUUUAGCUACUACACAUAGUGGCAUUCCAAUGUGGAAUGAUGUGCAUCCUUUUUAGGUGCUUAUUGGUCAUUCAUACAUCUCUUCUAGUGAAGUGUUUGUCAGAAAAGAUUUUGUCCAUUUUUAUUAGGCUUUUUGCCUUACUAUUGAGUUAUAGAAGCUUGUCUUUUUAUUUUUUUCAUUCAGGACACAAAUUUAUGUAUACAUAUAUUUGUAGCUUUAUUUUUUAUUGUGUCCUGUAAGGAACAAAAGUCAUAAUUUGGAUAAAGUUUGACUUAUCUUUUUGUCUUUUGUAGAUUUUGCUUUUUGUGUCUUAUCAAAGUCUUCGUUUAACCCAAGUUCACAGGUAUUUAUUCCACUAGUUAUAUAAGCUUAGCAUUUACAUUUAAGCCUAUGAAGGUUUGAGAUGAAGUGAUAUAAGGUAAAUUUUUAGUUUCUUUAUGUGACUAUCCAGUUAUUCCAGCACAAUUGGUUGAAAAGACACUCCUUUUCUCAUUGAAAUGCUUUCACAGCUUAAUAGAAAAUAAACUGACCUUAUAUGUAUAGGUCUAUUUUUGGGAACUUUAUUCCAUUUUACUUAUGUAUAUGUGAAUCCUUCACCACACUGUUUUAAUGUAAAAAUGCUUUAUACUUAGAACUAAAACUAGAUCAUAUAAAUUCUUUAAGUUUGCUUUUUCACUUUAAUAUUUUACUGGUGGUUAUGGGCCAUUCACACUUCCACAUAUAUUUGAGAAUCAGCUUGUCAGUUUAAAACAUGAUGUAAUUUUGAUUGGAUUUGUUUUAUCUGUUGAUGAAUUUAGAAUAAAUCAACAUCUUUAAAAUUUUGCAUGUUUCAACUUAUGAAUAUUUUUCUCAAGUCACAUAGGCUUUUUAAUUUUUUUACAAGAAGUUUUGUAGUUUUCAGUGUACAGGUCUUGCACAUAUUUUUAUACAUUAUUUCUAGAUAUUUUAUUCCCAGAGAUGCUAUUAUAAAUGAAAUUGCAUUUUUAUUUCAAUUUGUAUGUUUUUGUUUGAGAUUUUUUUUCUAUUUGAUUUGUCUAAGGUAGUUGAUAUAGUUGAUUUUGUAUAUGGACCUUGUAACCUGGGACCUUGCUAAACUCACUUUUUAGUUCUACUAACUUUUUAACAGAUUUAUUAAAAUGUCCUUUUGAGAAGUGUCUGUUUAUAUCCUUCACCCAAUUUUUGAUGCGGUUGUUUUUUUCUUUUAAAUUUGUUCAAGUUCCUUGUGAAUUCUAGAUAUUAGACCUUUGUCACAUUGAUAGAUUACAAGAAUUUUUUCCCAUUCUGUAGGUUGCCUG